GCAGAAAUGUUGGGCAGAUUAAAUCUUGUUUGUCUGUGUCUCUUUUUCACGUCUCAGUCGCUGAUAAGGUUUGAAAGGCUGCGAGCAAGGGCCCGGGGAUCAGUAAUGUUCAUGAAGAUAAAAUCAAGGACCCGGCUCCCUCUCUGCGUUUUCCAGAAGGACUCGUUCCACACAAAGUCUGAGGAGAAAAAGGGAAAGAAAUCAACAAGUGAUGGAGCAGCACCUGCUUGGCUGAGCUUAAUUCCAAUGCACCGGCUCUGCUCAGCUCCUUGGGGAAUGAAGGAAUGGAAGGAAAGGAGGGAAAAGAAAAAAGCCAGGUUAAGCCCUGCUUUGUUUGAAAAUGAGAGACUCUGGAUUCAUUUCAUUGGGAGCAGAGGAUCACAGACUGGCAAACUUUAAUCUGAUGAAGUUUAAUAGAUCUGCAAAUGAGACCCAGCAAGGUCCAGCUCACGUGAGGCCCUGCUCUGAGGUGUUGGAUUUGGGAGCCUGAUGGAAUAACCGGGGCUGUGCGGGUUGAGGAUCCAGCCAGAACCACAGAGAUGAGGGAAAACUCAUCUUGAGUGGAAUUAAUGCUUUGAAAGCAGUGGAGAUGAGGCUGAAUCAGCUGAGAUUUCAAGCCAGAGGUGUCCAGACAAGGCUCCAUCACUUGCACAUCUUCAAACUGUGCCCAGUGCCUGCUCCAGACCUGAAGUGGAGGAAAACAGCUGGACCAUCAGAAAGCUGAUGGAUUUGGACAGGAGGAAGGUUGUAAGCAGGAAAAAAACCCCUUUACACAGAGCUUUUUAAGCAGAGAAGUCAGGAUUUGAACUCCAUCUCACCUGGGAAAAACCACAGACCCCGUGUAGGGAAAUUCGAAAUAAAACACGCAGGUGCCCAUUGGAGACACAGCAGCACAAACGUUUAUUUCUCACUCAGCAUUCCAGCUGGACACGCACCAGCAGCUGCAAUUUGUCCUGCUGAAAACACAGCAGGGCUUUUUCCAUUCUCUGCUCCCCCCUCUCCCCACCCGGCCACGAAAGUGGGUGGAAGUCAAAACUACUGAGCCAAAAUGUGAUGGAUGUAGAGAAGGAGAGGACGAGCAUUGCAAUUCACCGCAGAGCCCGUGGGUGGGGGCUGUGAUUGCCCACAAGGAAAUUGCCAGGGAUGCAGAUAUUUUGCAGAGCUCCUUAUUUACCUUCUCCUUUACUUUGCAAGUAAAUAAGAGAUUCAAUAAGAGCUGGCAAUUUUGUCCCUCACAGCCUCUGAGCAGCUCUCUAUUUCUGAUGAUGAGCAGUAAUUCCAACGUUUCGCCUCAAAAAAAGCCCCGGAGAGCACACAAACCCUCCCAGCCUUCCACACUUUAUAUUUUCCGAAUGGAAAGGUUUUAUUUUAGUAAGAAAUUACCCUUCAUUUAUGGGAAAAAAGUUUGAUUACUUGGGAAAAAAAAUCCCUGCUGAGCCACAGUGAUGGGUGGUUUUGUAUUGCUGAAAUGCCCCAGGUCUUUUUUGAGGUGUCUUUGGUAUUGAUA